CGGUAGCUGCUGUGCGCGUUCGCAAGGGAACGUGCCCAGACCGAUGAUUAUGUUACGGGGGUUACCCCUGGAGGUGAAAUGUCAUGCCUUCCUAGGAAGACAAAGUAGCUGAGAGGACGCCCCCACCUGUUGAGCUUUCGGAUUAGUGGCUCACAGUUCCCAGAACGGCACAGCGGCUUUUAU
rnacentral:other from 1 species